CUACCUGUACGAACGGAAGAGAUUGACGUGUGUACCAAAGUCGUUAUUGCUCCGACUCUUCGAGUUUUGCUACUCCAUAACGUAGGGUAGGUUUAAAAGAGUUCUACAAAAUCUGGAUUAAACCUUCUAUGCGAAUGGGUUCAUCGUCCACCUAGUUCCCAUGCGACCAGAGCAACCCGGAGUUCAUCGUCGACCUAGUUCCCUGACUUCCUCUCCUGCGACGGUGAAGGGCGGGCCUCUUCUCCCGGUAGCGCGGUAGCUACCCUCCUCCGGUCCGACUCGUGCGGAAGCGGUGGCCGCAACGGGACCCUCUAGACGAUUGAAGAGCCAAGAACGAUAACGUCCAAUAACCGGACGGGCACGACGAUCGGGAUAGUACCAACUAAAACGACCAACCUUAGGCUGCCUAGCCGCAGGCCGCUCGGUCUACCUAACACACGGGCGGAAAAGAAUUAACCUUUCUUGUAUAGAAAACAACGACCUCUAACUUACGAACCCGACUACGAAGUAAGACACGCACUUAACAAACCUAACGAUGACUAAAGUUACAUGAUUCCCUUAGGAUUUACUAAUUACCGCAACACAACAUGUUAUCAUAAGUUG
rnacentral:rRNA from 1 species